rnacentral:misc_RNA from 1 species
UCCGGUUUGUCACCGGCAGUCCCAUUAGAGUGCUCAGCUGAAUGUAGCAACUAAUGGCAAGGGUUGCGCUCGUUGCGGGACUUAACCCAACAUCUCACGACACGAGCUGACGACAGCCAUGCAGCACCUGAACCGGCAGUCCCCGAAGGGAAAAUCCUAUUUCUAGGACGGUCCACCGUUGUCUAGCCCGGGUAAGGUUCUUCGCGUUGCGUCGAAUUGAACCACAUGCUCCACUGCUUGUGCGGGUCCCCGUCAAUUCUUUUGAGUUUCAGCCUUGCGACUGUACUUCCCAGGCGGUAUACUUAUCGCGUUAGCUACGGCACAGCCGGGGUUGAGUCCAGCUACACCAAGUAUACAUCGUUUACGGCAAGGACUAC